CAGGACUUAGUUUAUAGAAAAUAAUUCAUUUACGUUGAGGGGAAUUUUUGUGCAAUCAUUUAGUUUUGA
rnacentral:tRNA from 1 species